GUAGCCGCACGCUGAUACCCUGUGUUGAUCAAGCAGGUUUGAUCUGCAGUUUCAUCUGGGACAGCCAGAGGUCUUUGGAACAGUAACCAGGGAACCAGCCUUAAAAGAUGGGAAAACAUAUUCAAAUUUGAAAACAACAUUCUAACCUCUGGUACCAGCAAUAGGACUAGAAAAUGUCUCCAUGGACAGGGUGUUAGUCCCUUCUUUUUGCCUCAGAAUCUGUCACCAACCUCCCAUUAGGAAUAUGAAGUGAAGCACAUCUCAGUAAAAACUAGACACCAACCAAAGACAUGAAAAGGCUCACAUGUAAACCUGGAGCUAAAACUACAGCUACAAAAGUAUCCCACUUGUAUAGGACAGGAGCAGGGAAUCUGAGCCUCCUGAAACCUGCUGCACAAUGUAGUCAAUGAGCUGCCCACCCCUGGCUCAGCACUGACCAAUCAGGACAAGCGCUCUCUGCACCCUUGAAAUCCUUAUUUGCAUGAGACCAGGAUAGGACUUGAGUCAGGAACCUUUCCUUUAUUAGUUACCCCUUUCCUUUGGGAUCAUGCUGGCCUGGGCUGGCCCUUGUUAGAGCUUCAGCUCCCUUCUAGUAUGAACAGAAGUCCCCAAUAAGCCCUGUCUGUGCCAAUACUUCCUCUGGGUCCCCCCUUUUCUGUCUCUGGACCCAAGAACCAGCUCUGGUACCACCUGCUCCAUUAUGUUUAGAUACAGCUGGUCACGGUAUAGUUGUGAGAAGGAUUAGUAUCAUCAGGGCAUGUUUAAACCAAGUGGCAAGGCGUAGGUCAAGCCAGGCACUCUGGACUGAAUCAUGCCUGUGCCCCCAAAUUCAUGGCUCUAACCCCCAAGUGGACUGUAUUUGGAGCUAGGGCUUUUAAGAGCUACUUAAAAUUUAAUGAGGUCAUAAUGGUGGGGCCUAACACAACAGGGUGGUGUCUUAUUAGAAAAACAAAGGACACCAAACAGCUCUCUCUCCCCCUGUCACCCUGGGUACAGCAAGAAGGAAAUCAGGUGGAUCACCUUGCCCUGGGACUCUUGGCCUCCAGAACCAUGAGAAGUGAAGCCUGCUGUCAAGCUCCAAGUCCUGGGGUUUGGUUACAGGAGCCCCAGAUGAGGAGGACUCAGGGUUAUGCCAAGGAUCCAAGAAAACAGGAAUGCUAAGAAGAAUCUGCAGUCAUUGAGAGCAACUGUCAUAGUCAGAGGUUUCCUCUGUCCUCCCCGACCCCGACUGGAGAGCCACCUGGCUUCUAGUAGGUGGUUCCUAGUCAUCCAAGAGAGAGCCAGUUCUUCAAGAGGCCUUUGGAGGAGGCUCCAGGCAGCAACAUGAGCUACAGAGUGAAAAACCUGGGGCCCAGGUCAUCCCAUUAAGUUUGGGUUCUUCCUCAACACCAGCCUAAUCAUCUAAGGAGACCUGCUCUGUGGCAAAGGCUAUCUGAGGGGUAUUGUGAGUGAAACCUCAAGAAAUGGUCCCUGACCUAGCCAAGCCCACCCAAUCCUAAACCUGCC
rnacentral:lncRNA from 1 species